GAAAAAUGCCAACUUUUCAGGAGCGUAAAAAAACUGUCCUAAAAAUUUAUUACCAUUAUUAAAAAUAUGUGUUAUACAUCAAAAGAUAGCUAAAAAUGUCUGUGAGGGGCCUAUGUAUUUAUAUUUAAAAUACACUUAAUAGGUUUUGAGAAAAACUUCAAAAAGAGCGUUGCGUACUUAUUCCGCGAAACAUAUUUAACACCUUGUUGUUGUAAUUAUGAAUAUUGCAUUGUUGACAUGUAAAGGAAUACAUGCUGUUUGGUAUUAUUGCAGAUAACCACUUAUUGGCGUUCAGAUUUAGUCGUGCAUUCAACGUGGAGAGACGAGCUAUCAAAAGGACUAAUGCCCGUUUUCACCAUCAAUCCCUAAUUUGUAAGUGACCUCUAUGGUGAUACAUAACAGGAAUUUUGUUUUUAUAGGGGUCACUUAAAAAUUUGGGAUUAAUGGUGAAAACGGGCAUAAAACUCAUUUAUUUUUGCAAGUAGGCUUUUAUAAAGCACUUUUAUAGUUUUACACUCCCCAGUAUUAACCCAACCACUGCUUCAGGACAUUUUUUUUUACGGAAGCGGUAGAUAGAUAUUUUGUAAAGUUACCAUUUAAAACAGAAAAUCCACAAUCACCAUUUGCAGACACCAAACCGAGGAAUGAACUGCCGUUUGCAGUAUUUGCGGACCAAUACGACCUAAAACCUUUAAGAGCAGACUCUAAUACUUUAAAGACAAUCAACGCACCUGUAACUCACCGAGGAGCGGGUGUCUAUGGGUGGCGGGUAAACACUUACCAUCAGGUGAUUCGUCUGCUCGUUUGCCUCCUUUCCCUUAAAAAACCCAGAAACAUAACCACUCACAGGUCCGUUCAAUUAGAAAGGAAGUUACAGAAAUCACUAGACCUGAAAAAAGAUUAACAAACACACAGAUUUUUUUUUUUUUAAAAAAGAUAACUACCUGAAAAAGAAAAAGAAACAAGACUGACAGUAUACUUACCUCAUCAUGCGGUCGUCUGGAAUAAUACGGAGACAACUCGCGCACGAUUAUAUUUGAUGCUUUGUGUUAAGGUUCGAUUUAUAUUUCACUGAAUAACGAACUGCUUGUAGGUUCCCAGCUGCAAGAAAACCCGAGAAAUAUUAUAAUGAGAUGAAACGUGUUUGCUUCAUAGAUGACAUUAUGAAGAUGAUCUUCAGAUUUAUGUGACAAAAAAUGAUUCGGAUUACCGGAGUACCGAUUUCUAUAAAAUAAUAAAACAAUAUUUUUAUAUCAACGACCUUUUAUCAAGAGUGGACUGGUCAAUUGAAGCUAUAAUGCUAUAAUUUAAUGAGAACUUACAGAGCAGAUAAUAAUACAUCUGAUGUGACCAUCCACCAGGUUACACUUCAGAGAAUGUGCGAAGGAAUUACACGACCUAAUUCCACCAGCCCCCUUCCAUCAUCAGACGCUGGUUAACGUAUCAUUCCUACAUUGUCGACAUUCCACCAGCUUGCACUAAGCGUUUCGAUAAACUCUUUUAUAAUGCGAACCGGUCGCUGCCUGCUGCUGUCUCUCCUGAGCACUAUACCGGACCUUAUAGGCACUUACAGGUAGAUAUCUAUCAUCUUAUACUGCAUCUCACUUAACAUCACAUGCAAUUGCGGUCAAAUACCUUUUGCUACCUAGUUCUGCGUUGAGUUUAUGAAGUCAAUAGAAGACAACAAAAUAUCAGCUAGUGCUAAAGUAGUUUUAUGAACCUUGAUGAAACAGUCCAAGUAUUGGGUAUUGAAUGGAAUUUGAGCACAGAUUUCAAUUCAAUGUGAAUAUACCACAAAUUGCAAAACCAACCAUGAAACGUAACAUUUUAUCUGAUACAUCUGAUCAAACUUUUUGAUUCCCUUGGCUGGAGCCUGGAGCUUAGCGUUAAUUAUAAUUUUUUUAAAUUAAUUUACAGUCAUGGCUAAGAUUCUAAUGGAAAUAGAAUAGAAAGUAUUUAUUUGUUUCAAAACAAAAACAUUGGCUGAUAAAAAACUAGUAAGGAUGGAAAGAUAAGUAACUCAUUAGAAAAAGAUUGGAUUAAGAUACGGCAGGAUUUGAUUCACAUUGACAAAAUACAGAUAUAGGUUGGUAUACUAUCUAUAGA